GUUUUUUGGCGCUUUUGUUUCAAUUAUGGUGGUUCUGUUCGAAGGCUCAUACAGAUGGUGUUUGCGCAAAAUUUCUAACGGAAAAUCACCGACUAUUUAGUGUCGACAGCUGCAUAUUAACUUUUUGAACACGCCUCCAUCACUGCUUGUUUAUUGGCUAUAACCUACUGAGUGUUCACAUUCAUCACAAAUGCAGUCAUUCUCCGGUAUAUUACAUCUGAUGUGCUGGGCAUCAUCAAUGUCAGGGCCUGUACGACGUGGUGGCCAACCUGGGCAGCCUGGCGGCCCGCUUCCUCUUUCAGCCAGUCGAGAAGAACGCCUACGUCUACUUCUCGCGCACAGUGGAACGGGGAAAGCCGGUGUCUGCCGCGGCGGGCCGGGUUCUGCACGACCUGCUGCGCGCCAUGAGCCUGCUCGGUCUGGUUGCCGUCACGUUCGGCUGGAGCUACCCCCCCCCCCCUGCUGCUGCGGCUGUACGGCGGCGCCCUGCUGGCCGCCGGUCCGGCCGUCAGUUUGCUGCGCGCCCAGUGCGCCUACGUGCUCCUACUGGCGGUGAACGGAGUGCUGGAGUGCUACACGUUCGCGGUGAUGCGCCAGGAACAGAUCAAUGGGUAUAACCGGAAGAUGGUGCUGCUAUCUGUGAUAUUCGUCAUCUCGACAGGGAUCUUUACUAGGCUAUUCGGCGGGGUUGGAUUUAUCCUCGCCAACUGCGUCAAUAUGCUGACCAGGAUAUACGUUUGUUACCGGUUCGUGGCCGGUCUGCCGCUGGAGCCGGCGGUGUCCGUGCCGCCGCUACUCGGUCUCCGCCCGCCGCCCGCCGUGGCUGCCGCGCUGGUGACCGCCGGCCUGCUGGCAGCCGGCUCCGAGAGCUGGCUGUACCCCAGCUCCGCCGCCGCCCAUGUGGCUGUGGGCGCGCUCUGUGGGGCCGCCGUGGUGGCCGCGGCGGUGUACAGCGAGCUCCGCCUCCUCCAGGCGGUCAGGGAGCGGGUCGGGGAUAAACUGAAGCGCAGCUAGCGGGGAGUGCUACUCACAUGGUCAUGCAGGGAAUAGGUUUGUUUUGUUGUGAUAUUUAUGUGCAUUUUGGGUUGAAUAUACACCGUGCCUGUAAGUAGAGUGGAUGUAUCAAUUUUAAGACUAGUGCGACUGCAGGGGGCGUUGUGGCUAUCGCCCAUUUGAGAGCUGGACAGUGCUUGAAAGCAACUUCCUACCCAUGAAUUUUGGCAUUCAGAUCCUAAUUAUAGCCAUCUGUGAUGAACGAUGCAGGGGAUGCAGAAAAUCGAUGCAGAAAAUCGUGGCCGGUUAGCGUCUGGUGGGGCUUGUAGGCUAAUGAUGGGCACGACCGGGUGCUGUAUGCUAUAUGUGGUGACAGCAGCGUUCCUGAGCGUCAGGUGUAUCUCUUGCUCUGAAGUCCAGAAGUCCUUAUCGUUCUUGUGCAUUCACUUUGUCAGUGCCUGAUGUCAGUGUCAGUGUUUGUCAGUGUUUCAUUCUGUAGCAGACAUGCAGUCAUAUUUGGUUAAAUAGAACCUUGCAGUCUGA
rnacentral:misc_RNA from 1 species